GACGAACGCUGGCGGCGUGCCUAAUACAUGCAAGUCGAACGAACCGCGACUAGGUGCUUGCACUUGGUCAAGGUGAGUGGCGAACGGGUGAGUAACACGUGGGUAACCUACCUCAUAGUGGGGGAUAACAGUCGGAAACGACUGCUAAUACCGCAUAGGACAUAGGAUCACAUGAUCCAGUGAGGAAAGGUGGCGCAAGCUAUCGCUAAGAGAUGGACCCGCGGUGCAUUAGCUAGUUGGUAGGGUAAAGGCCUACCAAGGCGAUGAUGCAUAGCCGACCUGAGAGGGUGAUCGGCCACAUUGGGACUGAGACACGGCCCAAACUCCUACGGGAGGCAGCAGUGGGGAAUCUUCCGCAAUGGACGCAAGUCUGACGGAGCAACGCCGCGUGAGUGAAGAAGGUCUUCGGAUCGUAAAGCUCUGUUGUUAGAGAAGAACAGCGCAUAGAGUAACUGUUAUGCGUGUGACGGUAUCUAACCAGAAAGCCACGGCUAACUACGUG
rnacentral:rRNA from 1 species